ACAUACAGCCUUACCACCAUGGUCACGUCCGAUCUCAUCUGAGCAGGGUCGGGCCUAGUUAGUACUUGGAUGGGAGACCGCCUGGGAAUACCAGGUGCUGUAAGUG
rnacentral:rRNA from 10 species